CCUACGGGUGGCAGCAGUGAGGAAUAUUGGUCAAUGGACGAGAGUCUGAACCAGCCAAGUAGCGUGAAGGAUGACUGCCCUAUGGGUUGUAAACUUCUUUUAUAUGGGAAUAAAAUGUUCCACGUGUGGGAUUUUGUAUGUACCAUAUGAAUAAGGAUCGGCUAACUCCGGGCCAGCAGCCGCGGUAAUACGGAGGGUCCGAGCGUUAUCCGGAUUUAUUGGGUUUAAAGGGUGCGUAGGUGGAUUUUUAAGUCAGUUGUGAAAGUUUGCGGCUCAACCGUAAAAUUGCAGUUGAAACUGGCAGUCUUGAGUACAGUAGAGGUGGGCGGAAUUCGUGGUGUAGCGGUGAAAUGCUUAGAUAUCACGAAGAACUCCGAUUGCGAAGGCAGUUCACUGGACUGCAACUGACACUGAGGCUCGAAAGUGUGGGUAUCAAACAGGAUUAGAUACCCGGGUAGUC
rnacentral:rRNA from 1 species